ensembl:snRNA U4 U4 spliceosomal RNA
AGUUUUGCGCAGUGGCAGUAUCAUCACCAAUGAGGUUUAUCUGAGGCGUGAUUAUUGCUAAUUGAAAACUUUUCCCAGUGCCCCGCCAUGACGACUUGAAAUAUAGUCAGCAUUGGCAAUUUUUGACAAUCUCUAUGGAGA